rnacentral:rRNA from 1 species
AGCGGAUGAAGGGAGCUUGCUCCUGGAUUCAGCGGCGGACGGGUGAGUAAUGCCUAGGAAUCUGCCUGGUAGUGGGGGAUAACGUCCGGAAACGGGCGCUAAUACCGCAUACGUCCUGAGGGAGAAAGUGGGGGAUCUUCGGACCUCACGCUAUCAGAUGAGCCUAGGUCGGAUUAGCUAGUUGGAGGGGUAAAGGCCUACCAAGGCGACGAUCCGUAACUGGUCUGAGAGGAUGAUCAGUCACACUGGAACUGAGACACGGUCCAGACUCCUACGGGAGGCAGCAGUGGGGAAUAUUGGACAAUGGGCGAAAGCCUGAUCCAGCCAUGCCGCGUGUGUGAAGAAGGUCUUCGGAUUGUAAAGCACUUUAAGUUGGGAGGAAGGGCAGUAAGUUAAUACCUUGCUGUUUUGACGUUACCAACAGAAUAAGCACCGGCUAACUUCGUGCCAGCAGCCGCGGUAAUACGAAGGGUGCAAGCGUUAAUCGGAAUUACUGGGCGUAAAGCGCGCGUAGGUGGUUCAGCAAGUUGGAUGUGAAAUCCCCGGGCUCAACCUGGGAACUGCAUCCAAAACUACUGAGCUAGAGUACGGUAGAGGGUGGUGGAAUUUCCUGUGUAGCGGUGAAAUGCGUAGAUAUAGGAAGGAACACCAGUGGCGAAGGCGACCACCUGGACUGAUACUGACACUGAGGUGCGAAAGCGUGGGGAGCCAACAGGAUUAGAUACCCUGGUAGUCCACGCCGUAAACGAUGUCGACUAGCCGUUGGGAUCCUUGAGAUCUUAGUGGCGCAGCUAACGCGAUAAGUCGACCGCCUGGGGAGUACGGCCGCAAGGUUAAAACUCAAAUGAAUUGACGGGGGCCCGCACAAGCGGUGGAGCAUGUGGUUUAAUUCGAAGCAACGCGAAGAACCUUACCUGGCCUUGACAUGCUGAGAACUUUCCAGAGAUGGAUUGGUGCCUUCGGGAACUCAGACACAGGUGCUGCAUGGCUGUCGUCAGCUCGUGUCGUGAGAUGUUGGGUUAAGUCCCGUAACGAGCGCAACCCUUGUCCUUAGUUACCAGCACCUCGGGUGGGCACUCUAAGGAGACUGCCGGUGACAAACCGGAGGAAGGUGGGGAUGACGUCAAGUCAUCAUGGCCCUUACGGCCAGGGCUACACACGUGCUACAAUGGUCGGUACAAAGGGUUGCCAAGCCGCGAGGUGGAGCUAAUCCCAUAAAACCGAUCGUAGUCCGGAUCGCAGUCUGCAACUCGACUGCGUGAAGUCGGAAUCGCUAGUAAUCGUGAAUCAGAAUGUCACGGUGAAUACGUUCCCGGGCCUUGUACACACCGCCCGUCACACCAUGGGAGUGGGUUGCUCCAGAAGUAGCUAGUCUAACCGCAAGGGGGACGGUUACCACGGAGUGAUUCAUGACUGGGGUGAAGUCGUAACAAGGUA